rnacentral:tRNA from 2 species
GCGCCAUUAGCUCAGUUGGUAGAGCAGUAGACUCUUAAUCUAUUUGUCCAGGGUUCGAGUCCCUGAUGGCGCA